GGGGCUGAAUUGGUUUUGACAGCAAGAGUAUGGAUUUGUAAGCAUGCCGAGCCUUGGGAUUUAACGCUCGUAAAAGUGAAUUCCUAUGUCAAUAAUUGACAACAAUAAUUUCGCUCUCGCAGCUUAAUCGUUUAACGAUUAUUGCUUAAUCCAGUCUGCCAGGCAGAUAUGGACGAGUGCUCCGCAGAAAUUUCUCCCCGCUGUUUCUGUAUAUGGAGUAUCGAAUCGCUGGGAUAGCAAAGGUAGGUUCCGAUACCUGAGCAAAACUU
rnacentral:tmRNA from 1 species